CCUACGGGUGGCAGCAGUGAGGAAUAUUGGUCAAUGGACGAAAGUCUGAACCAGCAAAGUAGCGUGAAGGAUGACUGCCCUAUGAGUUGUAAACUUCUUUUAUAUGGGAAUAAAAUGUUACACGUGUGGGAUUUUGUAUGUACCAUAAGAAUAAGGAUCGGCUAACUCCGUGCCAGCAGCCGCGGUAAUACGGCGGAUGCGGGCGUUCUCCGGAUUUAUUGGGUUUAAAGGGAGCGUAGGUGGAUCGUUAAGUCAGUGGUGAAAGUUUGCGGCUCAACCGUAAAAUUGCAGUUGAAACUGGUAUUCUUGAGUACAGUAGAGGUAAGCGGAAUUCGUGGUGUAGCGGUGAAAUGCUUAGAUAUCACGAAGAACUCCGAUUGCGAAGGCAGUUCACUGGACUGCAACUGACGCUGAGGCACGAAAGUGUGGGUAGCGAACAGGAUUAGAUACCCGUGUAGUC
rnacentral:rRNA from 1 species